AUCUAGCUAACGAAUUCCAAGUAGGACGAAACGCGUGUCCUGGAU
rfam:Schistosoma mansoni, Puerto Rico, WGS project CABG01000000 data, contig: 0080